rnacentral:lncRNA from 1 species
AAAGACAUAAAGCAAUCUACUGUGAAGCAGAAGGACUAGAGGAAGCAAGUUCAAGAUCAGUUCACAAUCUCUCGAGGUCUCUGAGCACGCCGGUGUUCACUCAGCCUAGUGACUGGGAGGGAUGUGGGUGCAGCCACAUACCCUAAAAGGCUGUUCAGCUACCUGGGGAAGCAAGCCCGCAUCAAGGAGCAAGGUCCUGGAGGUGCCUGUGUCCGCAGCCCCAGGCUUCUCUCGAUGGCUCCCAUGAGGAGCCCUGGGGACAGGAAAAAGGCCCGGGUGGCUCUAAAAACAGCCGCCUCUUCACCUGCAGAAUCGGCUUCUCUCUGUGCAUUAUCAGCAAAGGGAGUGAAAAGCGUACCAGAGGGGUGAUUUGAAUUUCAUUUUCUCAGUAUGUCCCCCUGUGGGGAACGCUGCAUGGUGCUGCAUGCUGAUUCAAAGAAAACUCACUGCUUGCUGGGGUUUAAGGCUAGUCGUGGGCAGCUCAUGUCGCACUGGGCUGCGGGGGGGCCCUCAGAAUGCCUGGGGGAUCACACAACUGGGGACUGGCCCAGCAACCUUUGCGGAGAAGCUGUGUGAUUCCAGCAGGCCCCAGACCCCCUGCGGACCCCCGUGUCCUCAUCUAUAAAAUGAGCGAGUCGCACACUGCGACCCUUCACCUCACUUCAGGGAGAAGAUAAAGAGGCCUCAAGACCUAUCAGCCUUGGAGCCAAACCCCAGGCUUUGUGAUCAAAAGACAAAUAACCAGCCAUUCCCACUGCGUCUCUCAAACCUGCUGAGCGGCACAAAUGUUUCCUUCUUAUAAACAAGCUUACCUGAAGAAGGCGAAGUAAGCCAGACCCUGAAAUCCCACGCAGUUUUUGGCAGACCCCUUAGGAGAAACUGCUGCCGACAGCUUAUCAAGUGUCUUUCUC